AGGUUGUCAGCAUGGAUUUUGGCUGGAGAUCUUAGUCUUCCACUUGUCUCAUUGCUGAGCAACUCCUGUUGUACAGUAGCUCCUGUGUGUCUCCAUGGAGAACUAAAAGUUGGGGCCCUUGGUGAUGGUGUCCAUGGGGCAGGCCACCUGGUAGAAGCUACAGUAGGUGUACUUGGUCAUGUUGAUGUCAUAGUGGGUGGUCUGGCAGCUGCCAUUGGCAGUAGGUUUAGCCUUAGUGGUGAUGGCCUGGAUGGUGCAGACAACCUUACAAAGCUUACAGGCAACUCAGCAUUCCUCUCCAGAUGGAUAGUGGUGCCGUGCAUGCUCCCCUUCACCCAAAACAUUACACCUGGUUGACUUGGAGAUCCUCCAGGGAUGGCAUCUGUUACCACUGUCUCUCUUGAAAUACAGACCCACGGUUGUUGAUCUGCAAAUGUUGAUGAAAACCCAAACUGUAUUUGUCUCUGUUGUCUCAUGGCUUUGCCACCAUAUGCUAAAUCAAAUUACACUUCACAGUUGGCAGCUGAAAGAAAUGAAGAAAUAGUCAAUGCAAAGAUAUCUUCCUUGGCAUCACUGGGGAUGUAAAAUAUUAAAUCUACCUAUCUAUUUCUUUUUAUUAGUCUGUUAUCAUUGUUAACAUGGAAAGUGGCUCUUUAAAAUGAGCGCUGGAGGGAAUACAAGCUCGUGCAGCUACUGUGGAAAACAAUUUGGAAGUUCCUCAAAAAAUUAAAAAUAGAACUACCGUAUGAUCCAGUAAUUCCACUACUGGGUAUUUACCCCAAGUAAUUGAAAACACUAGUUCAAAAAGAUAUGUGCACCCCUAUGUUUAUUGCAGCAUUAUUUAUAAUAGUCAAGUUAUGAGAGCAAUCUAAGUAUCCAUCCAUAGAUGAAUGGGUAAAGAAGAUGUGCUACACAAACAUACACAAACAUACGAUAUUACUCAGCCUAAAAAAAAAAAAAAAACUUACCAUUUGUAACAUGCAUGGAUGGAUCUAGAGGGUAUAACGUUAAGUGCAAUGAGUCAGAAAAAGACAAUCAUACGAUUUCAUUCAUAUGUGGAAUUUAAGAAACAAAACAAAUGAAAAAAAAAAAGAGACAAACCAAAGAACAGACCCUUAAAUAUAGAGAACAAACUGAUGGUUCCAGAGAGAAGGUGAGUGGGGGGAUGGGUGAAACAAGUGAAGGGAAUGAUUAAGAGCACACUUGUAAUGAAUUGUUGAAUCAUUAUAUUGUACAUUUGAAACUAAUCUAACACUGUAUGUUAACUAUACUUGAAUUAAAAAAAAAAAAAAAAAAAAAAAAAACGAACGCCAGAGGCUCCUCCUGCUGAGCACACACAUCAGUCACUAAAACGUAG
rnacentral:lncRNA from 12 species